UUAUACUACGUUAUAUAGUAUUACUAUUUUACAUGUCAGCAAUACUACACUAGCUACAUGUAAGCUACGCAGUUUGGUAUCUGAUUUAAGGAUACGUAGAACUGCGGUGAGUUUUCCUUGUGGUCUAUUAUAUUACAAUACACAGGUUGUAUAAGUAGCAACUGAGUAUAGGUAUUGUAUUAACUGGGUUAUAAUGUUACCUAUCACUAAUAUAGCUCAUAACUGAACUGAGGAACGAGGUUCAGUUGUAACGCUAUUUAUAAUAUUUCUAAAUAGUUGUUAUCAACGGGUAUCUAUGUAUAUAGACGGAUAGUUACCCGUGAUUAUCAAUAAACGGAUCUUAGCUAGUAUUCCAACAUAUGACAUAUAGUGAUACGCAACGUAAUGUAUCAUAGCGUAGUGUAGUAUUGCUGACACUACAGUUGUGCAACACUCACUGUAUGCCAUAUGUUAG